GACGAACGCUGGCGGCGCGCUUAACACAUGCAAGUCGAGCGAGAACCAGGGCUUCGGCCCUGGGGACAGCGGCGAACGAGUGAGUAACACGUGGGUAAUCCACCCUCGGCACCGGACUAGCCCAGGGAAACCCGCAUUAAUGCCGGAUGGCCCGCCGGCCCCCAGGGGCUGGCGGAAAAGGUAGCUUCGGCCUCCGGCCGGGGCCGUGCCCGCGUCGCACUAGCUUGUUGGUGGGGUAGCGGCCUACCAAGGCUGCGAUCCGUAGCUGGUCUGAGAGGACGAUCAGCCACACUGGGACUGGGACACGGCCCAGACUCCUACGGGAGGCAGCAGUGGGGAAUCUUGCGCAAUGGGCGAAAGCCUGACGCAGCGACGCCGCGUGGGGGAAGGAGGCCUUCGGGUUGUAAACCUCUUUCAGGAGGGACGAAGCCACUCGGGUUAAUAGCCCAGAGGGUGACGGUACCUCCAGAAGAAGCCCCGGCUAACUACGUGCCAGCAGCCGCCGUAAUAC
rnacentral:rRNA from 1 species